rnacentral:lncRNA from 1 species
CUAACCCAUGGAGGGGUGACUAGCUGCAAUUGGUGGAGGGAGAAUCCACAUCAGUGAAAUCCCUGACACUUGGAAGAAGUAGAAUUGCACUUGAUGCCAGGCUAAGAACACUUGACUUAACAGAGAUGAUGCCUUCCCCUAAGAUCAGAAUCAGUGGAGAAGCAAGUAGUACAGAAGCUACAACCUCUUGAUAGGAGAAAGAACUGGGGGCAAUAGAAUCCCUCCUACAACCUAGAGCACCCCAUCCCCCAGAUUAUAUUAGAAAUGUUUGGUUUGACUGUGUAAAAAUAACACCGAUUGUUUUCAUUUAGGAGAAUGACUUACCAUUUAUGCCUAAUUAUCA